GGGCGAGUAGCUUAGUCUGGUUGGAGUACCCGACUGAUAAUCGGGUGGUCAGGAGUUCAAAAACAUGGAAAUCUCCUCUCGCCCACCA
rnacentral:tRNA from 1 species